ACUGAUAGGUCUGAGGAGCUUAGUCCAAAAGCAGCAGUGACAGAUGUAACCAGCGUAAGCUCAUCAACGGCAGCUUCUGUUGGGCUUUCUCGGCAGUUGCUUCUACCCAAAAUAUCUGCUCCAGUCAUCCACCUACCUGACGAACAGAAGGAUAAUAUACAGAAGUCAGCUUUCACUCGUGUCAUUGAUGCUUAUAAGCAAGUUGACAGAUGUAACCAGCGUAAACUCAUCAACGGCAGCUUCUGUUGGGCUUUCUCGGCAGUUGCUUCUACCCAAAAUAUCUGCUCCAGUCAUCCACCUACCUGACGAACAGAAGGAUAAUAUACAGAAGUCAGCUUUCACUCGUGUCAUUGAUGCUUAUAAGCAAGUUGCAGUUGCUGGAGGUUCUCAAACCCGCUUUUCUCUUCUUGCCUAUUUG
rnacentral:lncRNA from 1 species